rnacentral:tRNA from 1 species
GCCCCAGUAGUUCAAUGGACAGAACAGGACUCUUCUAAGGUCUAGAUGGGGGUUCGAUUCCCUCCUGGGGCG